rnacentral:lncRNA from 1 species
GAAGGGGGCAAGGUAGAGAUUAAAAGGGCAGAUGCAUGGAGAGAGACCGGGUAGGUAAGGAGAGCUGGAGACAUUGAGACGGGGCAGUGAUCCCUGUGUCCUUUCCCUGACUGGAAAGUCUGGGUCUUUGAGCAAUGAGAGUCAGAGGGAAACAGAAGGUCCAUGGUGCCAGGGGCUUUUCUUACCCACAGAAACUUCCCUGAUUUAUUUUUCACCUGAGUUCCAGGUCCUCCCUGUACUCCUGUCUGGCCUUCUCUACAUCCUUUUGAACCUGUUUCACAUGGGGUGUUGCAGAAUAAGCAGGGGUUGCCUUGAUUUCCAGAGGAGAGAGUACUCUGGAUAAGGCCUGCAGGAACCGGAGGAAGAGGGUGUUGCAAGCCAAAUUUCAUCAUCGGCGGCAGCCCCAACAGAGGGAGGAGG